rnacentral:rRNA from 1 species
ACUCCUACGGGAGGCAGCAGUAGGGAAUCUUCCACAAUGGGCGCAAGCCUGAUGGAGCAACACCGCGUGAGUGAAGAAGGGUUUCGGCUCGUAAAGCUCUGUUGUUAAAGAAGAACACGUAUGAGAGUAACCGUUCAUACGUUGACGGUAUUUAACCAGAAAGUCACGGCUAACUACGUGCCAGCAGCCGCGGUAAUACGUAGGUGGCAAGCGUUAUCCGGAUUUAUUGGGCGUAAAGAGAGUGCAGGCGGUUUUCUAAGUCUGAUGUGAAAGCCUUCGGCUUAACCGGAGAAGUGCAUCGGAAACUGGAUAACUUGAGUGCAGAAGAGGGUAGUGGAACUCCAUGUGUAGCGGUGGAAUGUGUAGAUAUAUGGAAGAACACCAGUGGCGAAGGCGGCUACCUGGUCUGCAACUGACGCUGAGACUCGAAAGCAUGGGUAGCGAACAGGAUUAGAUACCCUGGUAGGAUAGCG